UGCCACCUGCCUUGAAAAUAAGUAUUUGACCAUUGUCAGCCUGUAACUUGAGCAAGAAAUGGUUUGGGAAGGAAAGUUUAGGGUAUGUUUUUAAAUUCUGGGUUUUUUUUCAAAUGCACCACUCUCUUUCCCACAGGGUCCUCCAGGAAUCCAGGGGCCUAAAGUAAGUCAAUAAAUUAAAUGUCACCCAGUUUCCCAGCUGCUAGUGCAUUAUUUACAGGCUCACAAAGGCCUGUCAGCUCUGGAGACUGAGGUUUUUGUCACUGUUGUCACAGCACAUCCCUUGGUUACGCUGUUCAGCAGUUGGCAUUUUGGAAAACAAGCCAUUUCUCCUUCCAAGCAUUUACAAUCCAAACCUCUCCUCCAGCAGAGAGUCCAGAGGGCUGGUGAGAACCAGAGUUUCCAAACCAAAAGGCUUAAAACCUGUAUUUUCAGCUAUUUUCUUACAUGGUCAAGAGCAAAACAUCACCAGCAGUGUGGGUGUGAGCACCCCAGAGAAGGGGUAGGAGGGGGUGGGUGCAUGAGGGGCUGCCCUGGGCAGAGCUGCCAGGGCUCCUUGGCUGAUCCAUUUCAUUUCUGCAGGGUUUGGAUGGUGCAAAGGGAGAGAAAGGUGACAGUGGUGAGAAGGGGGACCAAGGUGACACCGGACCUGCUGGUCUCCCAGGUGCUCCAGGGCUCAUUGGUUUACCUGGUACCAAAGGAGAAAAGGUAA
rnacentral:lncRNA from 1 species